rnacentral:rRNA from 1 species
UACGGAAGGGGCAAGCGUUGUUCGGAAUCAUUGGGCUUAAAGGGCGCGUAGGCGGGCCGCCGCGUCCGGGGUGAAAUCCUCCCGCUCAACGGGAGAACGGCCUCGGAUACGGGCGGCCUGGAGGGGGGUAGGGGCGUGCGGAACUGUGGGUGGAGCGGUGAAAUGCGUUGAUAUCCACAGGAACUCCGGUGGCGAAGGCGGCACGCUGGACCCCACCUGACGCUGAGGAGCGAAAGCCAGGGGAGCAAACGGG